GGUUAAGCGACUAAGCGUACACGGUGGAUGCCCUGGCAGUCAGAGGCGAUGAAGGACGUGCUAAUCUGCGAUAAGCGUCGGUAAGGUGAUAUGAACCGUUAUAACCGGCGAUUUCCGAAUGGGGAAACCCAGUGUGUUUCGACACACUAUCAUUAACUGAAUCCAUAGGUUAAUGAGGCGAACCGGGGGAACUGAAACAUCUAAGUACCCCGAGGAAAAGAAAUCAACCGAGAUUCCCCCAGUAGCGGCGAGCGAACGGGGAGCAGCCCAGAGCCUGAAUCAGUGUGUGUGUUAGUGGAAGCGUCUGGAAAGGCGCGCGAUACAGGGUGACAGCCCCGUACACAAAAAUGCACAUGCUGUGAGCUCGAUGAGUAGGGCGGGACACGUGGUAUCCUGUCUGAAUAUGGGGGGACCAUCCUCCAAGGCUAAAUACUCCUGACUGACCGAUAGUGAACCAGUACCGUGAGGGAAAGGCGAAAAGAACCCCGGCGAGGGGAGUGAAAAAGAACCUGAAACCGUGUACGUACAAGCAGUGGGAGCACGCUUAGGCGUGUGACUGCGUACCUUUUGUAUAAUGGGUCAGCGACUUAUAUUCUGUAGCAAGGUUAACCGAAUAGGGGAGCCGAAGGGAAACCGAGUCUUAACUGGGCGUUAAGUUGCAGGGUAUAGACCCGAAACCCGGUGAUCUAGCCAUGGGCAGGUUGAAGGUUGGGUAACACUAACUGGAGGACCGAACCGACUAAUGUUGAAAAAUUAGCGGAUGACUUGUGGCUGGGGGUGAAAGGCCAAUCAAACCGGGAGAUAGCUGGUUCUCCCCGAAAGCUAUUUAGGUAGCGCCUCGUGAAUUCAUCUCCGGGGGUAGAGCACUGUUUCGGCAAGGGGGUCAUCCCGACUUACCAACCCGAUGCAAACUGCGAAUACCGGAGAAUGUUAUCACGGGAGACACACGGCGGGUGCUAACGUCCGUCGUGAAGAGGGAAACAACCCAGACCGCCAGCUAAGGUCCCAAAGUCAUGGUUAAGUGGGAAACGAUGUGGGAAGGCCCAGACAGCCAGGAUGUUGGCUUAGAAGCAGCCAUCAUUUAAAGAAAGCGUAAUAGCUCACUGGUCGAGUCGGCCUGCGCGGAAGAUGUAACGGGGCUAAACCAUGCACCGAAGCUGCGGCAGCGACGCUUAUGCGUUGUUGGGUAGGGGAGCGUUCUGUAAGCCUGCGAAGGUGUGCUGUGAGGCAUGCUGGAGGUAUCAGAAGUGCGAAUGCUGACAUAAGUAACGAUAAAGCGGGUGAAAAGCCCGCUCGCCGGAAGACCAAGGGUUCCUGUCCAACGUUAAUCGGGGCAGGGUGAGUCGACCCCUAAGGCGAGGCCGAAAGGCGUAGUCGAUGGGAAACAGGUUAAUAUUCCUGUACUUGGUGUUACUGCGAAGGGGGGACGGAGAAGGCUAUGUUGGCCGGGCGACGGUUGUCCCGGUUUAAGCGUGUAGGCUGGUUUUCCAGGCAAAUCCGGAAAAUCAAGGCUGAGGCGUGAUGACGAGGCACUACGGUGCUGAAGCAACAAAUGCCCUGCUUCCAGGAAAAGCCUCUAAGCAUCAGGUAACAUCAAAUCGUACCCCAAACCGACACAGGUGGUCAGGUAGAGAAUACCAAGGCGCUUGAGAGAACUCGGGUGAAGGAACUAGGCAAAAUGGUGCCGUAACUUCGGGAGAAGGCACGCUGAUAUGUAGGUGAAGCGACUUGCUCGUGGAGCUGAAAUCAGUCGAAGAUACCAGCUGGCUGCAACUGUUUAUUAAAAACACAGCACUGUGCAAACACGAAAGUGGACGUAUACGGUGUGACGCCUGCCCGGUGCCGGAAGGUUAAUUGAUGGGGUCAGCGCAAGCGAAGCUCUUGAUCGAAGCCCCGGUAAACGGCGGCCGUAACUAUAACGGUCCUAAGGUAGCGAAAUUCCUUGUCGGGUAAGUUCCGACCUGCACGAAUGGCGUAAUGAUGGCCAGGCUGUCUCCACCCGAGACUCAGUGAAAUUGAACUCGCUGUGAAGAUGCAGUGUACCCGCGGCAAGACGGAAAGACCCCGUGAACCUUUACUAUAGCUUGACACUGAACAUUGAGCCUUGAUGUGUAGGAUAGGUGGGAGGCUUAGAAGUGUGGACGCCAGUCUGCAUGGAGCCGACCUUGAAAUACCACCCUUUAAUGUUUGAUGUUCUAACGUUGACCCGUAAUCCGGGUUGCGGACAGUGUCUGGUGGGUAGUUUGACUGGGGCGGUCUCCUCCUAAAGAGUAACGGAGGAGCACGAAGGUUGGCUAAUCCUGGUCGGACAUCAGGAGGUUAGUGCAAUGGCAUAAGCCAGCUUGACUGCGAGCGUGACGGCGCGAGCAGGUGCGAAAGCAGGUCAUAGUGAUCCGGUGGUUCUGAAUGGAAGGGCCAUCGCUCAACGGAUAAAAGGUACUCCGGGGAUAACAGGCUGAUACCGCCCAAGAGUUCAUAUCGACGGCGGUGUUUGGCACCUCGAUGUCGGCUCAUCACAUCCUGGGGCUGAAGUAGGUCCCAAGGGUAUGGCUGUUCGCCAUUUAAAGUGGUACGCGAGCUGGGUUUAGAACGUCGUGAGACAGUUCGGUCCCUAUCUGCCGUGGGCGCUGGAGAACUGAGGGGGGCUGCUCCUAGUACGAGAGGACCGGAGUGGACGCAUCACUGGUGUUCGGGUUGUCAUGCCAAUGGCACUGCCCGGUAGCUAAAUGCGGAAGAGAUAAGUGCUGAAAGCAUCUAAGCACGAAACUUGCCCCGAGAUGAGUUCUCCCUGACCCUUUAAGGGUCCUGAAGGAACGUUGAAGACGACGACGUUGAUAGGCCGGGUGUGUAAGCGCAGCGAUGCGUUGAGCUAACCGGUACUAAUGAACCGUGAGGCUUAACCUU
rnacentral:rRNA from 1 species